rnacentral:rRNA from 1 species
GGCGAUCGAAAAGAUUAAGCCAUGCAUGUAUAAGUUUAAUCGUUUUAACGAGAAACCGCGAACGGCUCAUUACAAUGGCCAUGAUUUACUUGAUCUUGAUUAUCUAAAUGGAUAACUGUGGAAAAGCUAGAGCUAAUACAUGCACCAGAGCUUUGUCCUCUCGGAAAAGCGCAUUUAUUAGAACAAAACCACGCGGCUUCGGCUGCUUCUUGUUGACUCAGAAUAACUAAGCUGACCGCAUGGCCUUGUGCCGGCGGCGUGUCUUUCAAGCGUCCACUUUAUCAACUUGACGGGAGCAUAAUCGACUCCCGUGGUGGUGACGGAUAACGGAGGAUCAGGGUUCGACUCCGGAGAAGGGGCCUGAGAAAUGGCCACUACGUCUAAGGAUGGCAGCAGGCGCGCAAAUUACCCACUCUCGGCUCGAGGAGGUAGUGACGAGAAAUAACGAGACUGUUCUCUUUGAGGCCGGUCAUCGGAAUGGGUACAAUUUAAACCCUUUAACGAGUAUCAAGCAGAGGGCAAGUCUGGUGCCAGCAGCCGCGGUAAUUCCAGCUCUGCUAAUACAUAGAAUUAUUGCUGCGGUUAAAAAGCUCGUAGUUGGAUUCGUAUCGGUACCUUGGAACCCUUCGGGUGUUUCUGGGUGUUAUCGAUUUAUCGUAAUGUUCGGUUUUGAGUCCUUAACAGGAUUUUUAACAGUCAUUGCAAGUUUACUUUGAACAAAUCAGAGUGCUUCAAACAGGCGUUUUCGCUUGAAUGAUCGUGCAUGGAAUAAUAGAAAACGAUUUCGGUUCAGUUUUAUUGGUUUUACGGACUGAGAUAAUGGUUAACAGAGACAAACGGGGGCAUUUGUAUGGCCCCGUGAGAGGUGAAAUUCUUGGACCGUGGCCAGACAAACUACAGCGAAAGCAUUUGCCAAGAAUGUCUUCAUUAAUCAAGAACGAAAGUCAGAGGUUCGAAGGCGAUCAGAUACCGCCCUAGUUCUGACCGUAAACGAUGCCAACUAGCGAUCCGCUGAUGGAAAUUAUAUUGCCUUGGUGGGGAGCUUCCCGGAAACGAAAGUCUUCCGGUUCCGGGGGAAGUAUGGUUGCAAAGCUGAAACUUAAAGGAAUUGACGGAAGGGCACCACCAGGAGUGGAGCCUGCGGCUUAAUUUGACUCAACACGGGGAAACUCACCCGGCCCGGACACUGUGAGGAUUGACAGAUUGAUAGCUUUUUCAUGAUUCAGUGGAUGGUGGUGCAUGGCCGUUCUUAGUUCGUGGAGUGAUUUGUCUGGUUUAUUCCGAUAACGAGCGAGACUCUAACCUACUAAAUAGUUGGUACAUACUCUUUGUGUAUACAGCUUCUUAGAGGGAUUUGCGGCGUUCAGCCGAAAGAAAUUGAGCAAUAACAGGUCUGUGAUGCCCUUAGAUGUCCGGGGCUGCACGCGCGCUACACUGGCAAAAUCAACGUGCUUGUCCUACCCUGAAAGGGGCGGGUAAACCAUUGAAAAUUUGCCGUGAUUGGGAUCGGAAAUUGCAAUUAUUUUCCGUGAACGAGGAAUUCCAAGUAAGUGCGAGUCAUCAGCUCGCGUUGAUUACGUCCCUGCCCUUUGUACACACCGCCCGUCGCUGCCCGGGACUGAGCCAUUUCGAGAAAUUUGGGGACCGUUGAUUUAAUUUAUCUAAAUUAUUUUGAUGGAAACCAAUUUAAUCGCAGUGGCUUGAACC